GACGAACGCUGGCGGCGUGCUUAACACAUGCAAGUCGAACGGAAAGGCUCCAGCUUGCUGGAGUACUCGAGUGGCGAACGGGUGAUUAACACGUGGGUGAUCUGCCCUGCACUUCGGGAUAAGCCUGGGAAACUGGGUCUAAUACCGGAUAGGACCGCACUUUGGUGUGUGUGGUGGAAAGGUUUUUCUGGUGUGGGAUGAGCUCGCGGCCUAUCAGUUUGUUGGUGGGGUAAUGGCCUACCAAGACGGCGACGGGUAGCCGGCCUGAGAGGGUGGACGGUCACAUUGGGACUGAGAUACGGCCCAGACUCCUACGGGAGGCAGCAGUGGGGAAUAUUGCACAAUGGGGGAAACCCUGAUGCAGCGACGCCGCGUGGGGGAUGAAGGCCUUCGGGUUGUAAACUCCUUUCGCUAGGGACGAAGCUUUUUGUGACGGUACCUGGAGAAGAAGCACCGGCUAACUACGUG
rnacentral:rRNA from 1 species